rnacentral:rRNA from 1 species
CAGCAGCCGCGGGAAUACGAAGGGUGCAAGCGUUACUCGGAAUUACUGGGCGUAAAGCGUGCGCAGGCGGUUUGUUAAGACAGAUGUGAAAUCCCCGGGCUCAACCUGGGAACUGCAUUUGUGACUGGCAAGCUAGAGUGUGGCAGAGGGGGGUGGAAUUCCGCGUGUAGCAGUGAAAUGCGUAGAUAUGCGGAGGAACACCGAUGGCGAAGGCAGCCCCCUGGGCCAACACUGACGCUCAUGCACGAAAGCGUGGGGAGCGAACAGGAUUAGAUACCCGCGUAGUCCCUGUCUCUUAUAA